CCUUUGGCCUUCUCAUAAGGAUGAAAAUGCUUCUGUUUGAUGUUUGGGCCCUGAUGGUCUUGAUCCCUUGCCCAGAGCCAAGACCCAGUGGAAUUGAGACCUUCUUAAAGAAAACCCAAGUAGGCAAAGGGCCUCAGUGGAAAGAGUUUCUCCUGGCGGAUGUCACAAAGAAUUCUGUCCUGCAGUGCUUCUUCUCUUGUGCAGGGAUCCAAAAGGACAUAAGCCUUGGCAUCACUGUGUAUAGCCACCAAAGGAGGUGAUCCUGGAGCUGCAGCCUGCAUGGGUGGCUGUGGAUAAAGCCUUUACAGUGACAUGCCAUGUGCCCAGCGUAGCACCCUUGGAGAACCUCACCCUUACCCUUCUCCAGGGUAACCAAGAACUGUAUAGAAAGAACUUUGUGAGCUUGGCUGUGGCCUCCCAAAGAGCUGAGGUCACCAUCAGUGUCACAGCCCAAAGGGAGAAUGACAGGUGCAAUUUCUCCUCCGUGCCGAACUGGACUUGAGUUCACAAGGUGGCAGUAUCUUUCAAGGCAGCUCACUCAUCAAAGUACUCCGGAUUUUUGAAUUCUCUGAGAGCCCCCAGAUCUGGGUCUCUUCACUUGUGGAGGUUGGGAUGGCAGAGACUGUGAGCUGUGAGGUGGCUAAUGUGUUUCCUGCCAAAGAAGUUAUGUUCCACAUGUUUCUAGGAGAUCAGGAGCUGAGCCUCUUCCUCUCCCGGGAGGGGGACACAGCAUGGGCCAAUGCCACUGUUCGGGCAAUGGAGACUGGUUAUCAGGAGCUGUCCUGCCUCGUAUCUCUGGGUCCAAUGGAACAGAA